rnacentral:tRNA from 1 species
AUAAAAAUAAGCUAAAUUAAGCUUUAAGGUUCAUACCCUCAAUAUAGAAAUAAAACUCUUUUUUAUA